GCAAUUUUUAGCACAUUUAAUAACUUUAUAUAACUUUAUUACUUUUCUGUUGUGUCUGUAUAUUUGAAUAUAAUAUAUUUUAUCAAUGCUACGCUUUAAAGGGAGUCCACUGAGGUUAUUUUGCAUGGUGGGACUGAAAAUAUUUUUUCCAGAUAAAUGUACCAUUUGAUGUCGAUUUAGACCAUGAUCUUUGUGCAAAAUUUCAGAUCAUUCGGGCGCUUCAUUUUUCCAGAAUAAUUAUUCAAAUUGUAAAAGAAUUACCCAAAAUGAAAAGCGUUUAAACACUUUUCACUCAAAUCGGGCUAAAAAAAGGCAUAGAAAUACGAUUUUCAAUUUAUUUCAAAGUAUUUCUUAACUAUCUUUGCAAAUAUUUCUGUUUAAAGUGCCCCAGCUCAUUUUUAAAUUCAAAUGUUAUGUUUUUACGCUUUUAAACCUCAGUGGAGUCCCUUAAAGUUUAAUACAACACAAUAAAUCAAUGUAUUCCAGAAAUGGACGACAUUUGUCGUCGAACCUACAUCUGUUGUAUCAGAGGUGGACAUUUGGAUAAUUAUAGGAAGCGUUCUUGGUGCCGUGGCUCUUCUUAUUAUUGUCAUCAUAAUUCUUUGGAAGUGUGGAUUCUUUGCUCGGAAAAAACACAAUGAGGUCCAGCAAUGGAAGCGUGCAAGUUUGUACAACCGAAAGAGUGUCAGAUUGUCAAAUACCGAAAAACAACCUUAUACUGCAAUUGAGGAAAAAGAAAGUUAAACCACUAGUUUGCAUACACAUUUAUUACAUCAGUUGAAAUAAUAGUCAUAACAUUCUACUUUCUUGAGUGGUUUUGAUCUAAUUUGGAUAAAAUCUUUGUAAAUAAGCUGUUGAUAACUUUUUUUGCAAAGAUGACUAUUUCUUGAGCAUAUGCGUUGACUGUGUCCGCUUGGUUAUAUUAUUGUGUAUGUUUGAGUAAUUAUUGGAAAAACUUUAUCAAACUUACUUUUUAGAACAAACAUCUAUCGUUUCUGAAAAUAUGUUUUGUGUAUAUGUUUGCUUGUAUCUGCGGGAUCAAAUUUUGCCAAAUGAAAGGAUUGCCAAAUAUUGUCAAAUAAUUUUUUUUCAUAUGUAACUAGUCACAGUGUUUGAUUGUAUCCCCUCGUCGGUUUACUGAGGGAUACCGAUUUGACGUUGUCCGUCCUUAUUUUUUCUGACCGGAUUUUCCUUCGUCUGCUCGUAACCGGGGCAUAACACGCUAACUUUUUCAGUUAUAAACAUUAUUAAAUUUCAUGUGGUGUUUCAGGUUAUUGAGAGGAAAUGAAUUUACCAAGAUCGUUACUCUUUUUCUUUUUGCCAUUUUUUUUAGUUAUUUCCCUUUCAAUUAUUUAAUGCGUUUUUCGGGGUAUAACUAAAGAAGAAAUUGACAUACCAACCUGAAACUUCAUUAAUGUAUAUAUAUCAUAAAAGAGAAGUGCAGUGCAUCAGAAUAAUCACUUUCAUAAGAAUUAUAUAUGAGUUUUUGCCCUUUGCCAUUCUUUAUAUCUAAAAGGAAUAAAAGGAGAUGAACAUAUCUUAUAGACGAAUCAGUUUACAAGAAUAUUUUAUAAUUGUAUAACUUUGAAUAAUUGCCUUUUGUGUUUUUAUACCGAAAGAUCUUAUUAGGCAUAAAGCUAUGUCGCAUAUAAUUACUUGAAUCUUAAUAGAUAGAUAGGUCACAUCUUAGAAAGCGCAGUUUUAAACUUUUAACGAACCACAACUAUUCGGUGUUGUAAAUGCCCUUCGUAUUCCUACGUUACUUACUUUUAGUCGAGGAUAUAGCCAAAAAGGUAUGGGAAAUAACAACUUGAAAUUUUAAAGCUGGAUUGAGCUAAUUAAAGGGAGCGCACUGUUUUAAACAUAGCUCUCUUACGUAUUUGUUAAGCUUCUGCCCUUUGUUAUUUUUACAUUUAGUUAUUGACCUUUGUAAUUUUUCACAUUUAUUCUUUCUCGGGAGCAAAUCUGAAGAGGAAUAAGAGAUUCAUAGAUUGAUUGAUCUUAUUAAAGUAAAUCCAUUUUCCAAGAACCAUUAUCCUGUAUUUUGUAUAGUUUUGGAGUUAUUGUUUUUCCUUUUACACUAGUUAUUGCACUUUUAAUGAUUUAUUUUCAUAUGCAUUUAUUUCUGAGGCAUAUUUCUUAAAUUACUACAAUUCGACAGACAAAAAUUAAUAUGAAUGAUAUUUUAGAAUUGUUAUAGUGAAGUUAAAUAAAACUAUUUUAUUAAUAGAAGCAUGCUAUUAUAUAGUAACUUCACAAUCUGCAAUUAUAGAAAAUCAAAAUUUAUAUUUAAUUUACGCUUUUUCCUUGGUCCAAUUGGAAUGAUUGAUUUGAUUAUUAGAGCAUUAAUAUUGAAAUUUCCUUUAUAUAUACGUGAAUCCUUGUUUUGAAAAUUGUAUGUAUUAAAUACAUAUUUUUUAAAGAAUGGCCAAAUGACAUUUAAAAUGUCGAAAUAAUGUAUUAAUGCGAUUUCAUUUUGAAAUGCUGUCUUUUGUACUAAAUACUGCUAAUAUUUGUAAGCUUUGUAUCAUAAUGAUGCUCUGAAGUAUAUUAAACUAAGAAGCUUCAAUCACGUGAUUGGGGUUAUCAAUUCACCAACUC